rnacentral:lncRNA from 1 species
UGGAAGAACUCAAGAUUCAAAACAGCUACCGACUUCCCCCACCAGUCUAGUGGAGUCUCUGGCUCCAUAUUCGCACCCGAAAACGUAUAAUCGAGCUUUAAUAGACCCGAGGUGAGCUGCUCUUUGCAGGCGUUGUUGGCGAUUGCUAUGACCAAACGGUUCACCAAGUUGAGAUCUUCAGAGACUGGUGUAAGGGCUUCACAGUGAUGUAGAACGAGUAUGGAGUUAGAGAUACUUGGGAGGACCGUUUCUUUGAAGUAAUGUUCUGUUUUGAUAGCGAGAUUGUCCUCUGAGAAGUCCUCAGCCAUCUCUAGGUAAUGAGAUGCACAACGAAGCUUAGCUACGUUGAGAAGGUUGAUCUCAAUGUUGAUUCCAUAGCAGAACUUAGCUGCUAGCUCAAAGGCCUCAGAUCCUCCAGGAACACUCGAGAGACAUAUGUUGAAGGUUUUGGAAUCUGUAAGAAGCUUCCUGAUCUUUCCACUCCGAGAAACAAGAGGAAACUGAGAACACCAAACCAACAAGCAAAAAAAGUUCAAAACUAUAUAACUCAAGAAACAGAGGAUCCUCUGUUUUGGUAUAGAUGCUCUGUUUUUAGGUUUUGUGUUUGCUUAUUUUUACCUUAUGAAGACAGAAACUUGAAGAUCCAACUUGAACUGUAAGAUCACUAGAGACUUCAGAUAUUGGCCUGCAAGAACACAUAAACAAACCCAUUAAGAUUCUGAAGAUUUUUCAAUAAUGAUUUUCUGAAUUAUUGAAGCAAAAGAUCUGUGUGGACUUGAAUUUGAUGAUCAUGUAAGAGCUGCUUGUGUCUUCCAUGACUCCAACGCUAAGAUUCUAGGAUAAGGAAACAGUAAAAUCUAUCAUCUAAAAUAGUGUGUGUGUUUUCCUUGGUUUUGAGGCCAUUUUUAGAUUCACAGUUGAGACAUGUAAAAGGUUAUGUCAACAUCAAACUUUUCAAAUGAAGACAGAACCAAAUGAAGUGUGAUUGUACGGAUAUGUUCCACAUAGAUACAAAAUAGGAUGGAGAAAUUAUUGGUUUUUGAUGAACAGUGAGAGAUUGUGACAAUAAAUGACUUGUGGCUACAGAGAUUCACAUCACAUACAAAAAGAUUUGGAUCUUUAUUAGCUAAAUUUUUCAUGGGAAAGAACAAAUCUCUUAUUCGUUUUUCUGACAUGUUUCUAGUGAAUGCAGACAAAACUAAAAUGGUAAUCAUAAAUUACAAUACUAUAUAUAUUACCAUUCAGAGGCAUGUCUGAUGCUUGAGUUCAGACGAAACCCUCUCUUUCCUGUGAAAGUUGGCUUCACUUCUCCUACUGUAGAAAGUCCCAUCUCUCUCUCUUCACAGAAGAAGAAGAAGAAGAGCUCUUGUGGUUGUUAUUACAAGGAGUGUACGUAGUUAAUGAUGCAAAAAGGUACAGAAAAAAAGAGUUUUGAUAUCUUUGGUUAAUUAAUCUGUUAAUUACGUGUAAAGCUGAGGUCAUUAUUAUGAUACAUGAAAUUAAGUUAGUGAAAACAAAUGCAUGUAUAUACAUUAAUUGCUACUAGUGUUCUUUGAUGUAUGAGAUGCAUUUCAAUCUCAUUAUUAUGGGCUAAGGCAUCUAUUUUUCUCUUGUUGAUCCUGUGGUAAUUGUAAUGAUUACUUAUAAUUUCAUGAUUAUGUCCACUCUUGGUUGCCUUCAACUAACCGAAAUUAAUUUUUCAUUUUACAUUCUCUGCUCAAAAAAUUAUUGAUAAACUAUUUAAAACCUAUUUACAAACAAUACCAUACUGAAACGAUUUUUAACAGCAAAAAGUUAACACUAAAUUAUUUUAUUGCAUAGUGUUUUAUCUACUAAUGUGAUAAUAUCCAGUGGUGGUUUUUUUUUUGUAAUGCAAAAUUCUAUUUAUAAAUUUUAUAAGAGGAUAUGUAUUGUGUCAUGUGAAUUAUUUGGCGAGACCAAGCUUUAAGCUCACUCCAUGCUUUAAUUUUUGAAUAUGUAUUGUUUAAUGUGUGGUCCAAAAAAAUGUUAGAUGAUUUCUUGCUUUGGUUAUGAAAAUGAAAGAAAUAAAGAAUUAGAAAAGCUGUAGUGAUUCCUAGUGAUUACACCGAUUGAGAUUUAUACUUAGCUUUAAGGCUGUGUUAAUGUGUUAUGUAAUGAUGUUAGGCUGAUCGAUUAAUCUCGAGCCCCUCGAAACAUAAUAUAUAAUUUUAUGGUAAUUAUGAAAAAUUAAUCUAUUGUUGGAUUAGUUACAUUACGUAUGAAUAUAUGAUAAGCUUUUUGUGAGUUUGAUUGUGCAAGGUUGACCAAUAGAUUAGUGAUAAAAAAAAAUUAUCACAAGAUAUAGUGGUAUUAAAAAAAAAACAGUUUACCAAACAAAACAGUGAUUUUUUUAGUACUAAUUGUUGGCUAAGAUUGGUUGGUUCUGUCAGAAUGUAUAAUAGUCCAUCGAAAAUGUAAAGCUGUUAAAAGAUUUGGACUCAAAUGCAAACAAAAAAAAAACAAAUUUUGUGACGGCGCGUCAGGCUCCGAGCAUUAUCUGAUCCUCUUCUUCCUCCUCGGUUCGCGUAUUCGAAUCUCUUCAACGGGAGCUCCAAGCUUCUAAUGGAAAAUUAGGGCUUUUCAAUUUCUUUUUGAGUUUCCGUUGCGAUGGUUGAGAGACGGAGUCCUCUGGUGCUCUCAUCCACCAGAGCCACACUCCGUUCAGUCCUGAAUUCGUUUCGACCCGACGAGAUUCCGGGAAGACCCGAUUCGAUACGGCGGAGCGUUAGGUUGCCAGCUGGCGUGCUCAGAUGGAAACGAGACGGAGUAAAUGAUUCAAAGUUUGAUUCUUUAGAUGACUCUUCACUGGUCGGACUCUCGACUCAAUUGCUCAAGAGACUAUCCAUCAACUCUGGCUCUUUCGUAAGUCUUUAGUGUAAAAAAAUGGAUCUUUUAUUGUAAAAAUGGGUGCUUUAUUGUAAAAAUGGAUGCUUUAUUGUGAGUUUUGAUGUUAACAUUUGAGUAUUUUUAUAUUGCAAGGUUGUUAUCAACAACAUCGACAUAGGCAUUCAACGGGUUGCGCAAGUUGUUGUACUUGAUCCUCCCAAUAAGACGCUGGAAGAUUCAUCUGUCACUAGCUUACCAGUUUCGGACUCUCUUCACACAAUGCUUGUCUUUCCCACUUUUGAUACGAUGAGUCAACAGUUACUAGACCAAGAGGUUGCUUACUUGUCUCCUAUGUUAGCUUUUAAUCUUAGCUUGCACAUGUCUUGCCUGAAGUCCCUAGUACAUCGAGGGAACGAGGUCUUGGAGAAGUACUUUGUUGCUAAAUUCGAUGAAGAGUCGGCGUCGGUGGCGGGUGAGUCAAAGAUUGGUUUGGAUUUGGAACCUGUGUCCGAAGUUCCAGGGUAUGCGUCACAUCUAAGGGUUUCUUUUGUAAAGAUCCCGGAGUGUGGUACCAUUCAGUCAUUGGUAGUUAGUUCCUCGUUUGAAGAUGAAGAGAGACAAGGGUUGAUAGAUUCCGCAUUGAACAAGUAUUUUGGAACUGAUAGAGUACUCUCAAGAGGCGAUGUGUUUCGAGUUUGCACUGAGUGGAACUGUGGUUCAAGCAUUUGUGUUCAAUGUGGUCAAGGGUUAGGCUCCAAAGAAGAGGACUUUAUCUAUUUCAAGGUUGUUGCGAUGGAACCUUCUGAUGAGAGGUUUCUUCGAGUCCAUCACUCACAAACCGCUCCUCUUCAAGUAAGGAACCAACUAGGUUCGGUGCUCAGAAGAGCCGGAGCUAUAUGGAUUUAAGAGGCGCCUUAAUCGCAAUUAAGCGCGUAAUGUUUUUACUUAUAUAUUUCUAGUAUAGAAUAUGAUCAGUGUUUGAAACAUACUAUAUCUAGUGUUAAAAUAAAAAGAUUAUUGUCGUUUUUUCUAAAAAAAUACAUAAAAUGAAAAAUAAUUCGAUUCAAUUCGCUUGUGUAAUGCAAUAGCAAUUGUUAAGAAAUAAAAUCGUCUUUAAGUUUCAAAAAAAAAAAGAAAAGAUCGUCUUUGCAUAGUAAGUACUUACCUGGAAACAUAUAACUGGAAGAAAGAAUCUAAAUACAUUAUUGAAAAGUUGAUACAAGUCAAUAGCAUUGACCAAAAAAAAUAUAGUUAUUUUUGGGUAAAAUAUAUUUUUAACGCCGUCAGCAAAAUACUAAACCUUAAACCAUUGGAUAAUCCAUAAAACUUGGAUAAAUCCUAAACCCUAAAUCAAAAACAAUAAACAUUAAAUCUUGAAAACACUUAACACUUAGACCCUUGGAUUUAGUAUUUUUAAGAUUUAAUGUUUAGUCUUUUUGAUUUAGGAUUUAGAAUUUGUCCAAGAAUUUAAGGUUUAUCCAAGGGUUUAGGCUUUAUCCAAGGGUUUAGAGUUUAAGAUUUAAUGUUUUGACGAUGGUGUUAAAAAUAUUUUUAAAAAUAACUUCUUUUUUUGUAACUAGUACUAUUUUUAUUUAUUUUUACUUUAUUAUUUUUAAAUCAUGAUAAAAUUGAUAAUAUUUUAUUUUCUUUUUUAAAAAAUACUAAAUAUGAAAUAAUUAAUCUCUAUUAGUCGGUGAACUCUAGGAAGUGAACCCAAGAAUAACUCAAAAAAUAAAAUACAAGUCAAUAGCAAAGACUGGACAAAACACGAUCGCUCACAUUUCACAAACACACACUAUAUAUAGCUAUACAUACACACACUAUCACAAAUCAAACUCCCCAACCAAAAAAUAAUAAUUAUUCACUAUGCAAAUAAAUCAAAAUAUUGAAGUUUGAAGACUCUUGUUUUUUAAAUCAAGAAACCGAGUGUCGUCUUUUUCUCUGAAACAAGAAACGGCUCUCAGUACUUGCCUUUCCCUUCAAAGAAGGUUUAAGACUAGCGAAGCUGAAAAGAGAAUUGAGUUUGCUUAUCUUUUUAGCAAAAGACUUGAAAAGCUUAGUCCCUGGAUUAGUUUUAACGAGUUCUUGUCUAAUAGAGAUGUGAUCUUUCUCUAGAUCCGUUAAUCUCAUCCUCAUCCUCGCCACUUCAAGCUUUAACUCUCUGUUUUCUCUCCUCACUGACGCAUAGUUAUCUCUUGGUGAUAUCGCUCCACUUCCUUGUGAUCCAAGCCAACCAAACAAACAACCAUGAAUUAGCAUAGACGAAUAAAGGCUAAAUCAUACUAUAUACUCCCUCUAUUUAUCAAAGAAAGUCAUUUUUGAAACAUUUAAGGCGGAUUAAAAAAAAUACAAAAUACACUAAUAUUUUUAUUUAAUUUACGAUUAAUUAAAUGGUAAUAAUUUAAUUAAAAAUCUAUUGGUCAUUUAAAAGAGAAAAAUAGAUUUAAUAUGUAAAAUCACAUUGGAAAUGUAUUAAAAAAAUGAUAGUUUUUGUGAAACAUGAGUAUAGAAAGACUAUACAUUAUACAAUGCUGAGGGGUUAUGAAGUAAAAUUACCUGCUCCACUUCCUCCCCGUUGGGGAAACUGAUGACAGUUACCACUGAAUAGAAACUGAGUAGGACUAAUGCUACUGCUCAUUGCGUUUCUGAGUCUAAUCUGCUCAAAGUACAACACUUGUACCGCCAUUUGCACUGGUAACCUCUCGUUUUGCGCUGCAUGGCUACAAGCUUCUUGUGACAGUUUCUGUGAAUCUAUCGUCUUACAAAGUCGGUAGCGCUCUGAAUCCUUUAUAUUCGGAUGUACCUAUCAAAAAUAAAUAAAACCAAUAUUCAAAAUAUCUUUAGACAUAACUAAACGUUUCGAUACUAGGUGUAUUCCUCCGAUUAUAAGUAGGACCUAGUCGUAAACAAAUUAGAUGUUUUAAUUUUAAGUUUAAUUAUAAAAUUAUUUUGAUGAAUUAUAAAAUUUAUAUAUACACAAAAUAAUAAAUUAGAUAAACUUGUGCAUUUAAAUUACAUUUAUUGGUUGGUUUGAUAUAUUUAGACAUAUUUAGAUGUGCACAAAAAGACCAAUGUAGAUUAAUUAAAACAUAUUAAACUAAUUUUAACCGGUUUUGAACGGUUUAAACCGUGGUGAGGCGCAUUAAUAAGAAAAUCGUUUCAGUUACAACCGACUUAAGUGGCCUCAACCCAUUUAUAAAACAUUAAAUAAAACAAUAUGUGAACUGGCUAAUUUAUAAAAUGAGAGAAAGGUUCAAGAGGUUUUUACUUUGAGGUAAAUGUCAACGGCUCGAUAAAGACCAUCACUGAUGAUACGAGCAUGAUCUGGCAAGAGCUCAGCUAAAGCUAUGAACUUCGACGUUGUUAGAUUCGUAUCCAAAGCUAUCUCCGCUAGAUAGUUAUCCAUCAGCUUCGAUACUUUCAAGAUCGAGCUCUGUUUUGGAGAUCCAGGACUGUCGAAAUCGAAAAUCAUCUCUGUUUCAUCACCAAACCGGUUACGAUGAUGUCGAUCUUCUUCUUCAUCAUCGUCUUCUUCGUCUAGAUUCAAGAAUAUAGAGAAGAUUCUCAAGAUAGAAUCAAUGUCGUACAUCGUGUUGUUGACUCCGUUAGGGCUUGUCGGAAUCAAGACAUCUUCGAGGAUGGCUUGGUCUAGCUGAAGACCGAUCCUUCGCUCUAAAUCUGAUCGACAUGAUCUUAUAGAAGCAGAGGAUGAUGAUGUUGCGAUAACCAUUUUGAGAAGACUUGAAAGAAACGCUAUUGGAACAGAGCUUUUUCUUCCUUGCGUGGGAAGUAACCUAACGAUUGUUUCUACAAUCAUUCUCUGUUUCUUCUUUGCUUCUGAAUCGAUAACCCUUUCUUUGUCAAGCUUUGUAUCCCUAACUAUUAGCCCUUGAAGUGACUUAUUCGUGUAACUGAUGAGAAUCUUGCUGAUCACGUCUUGUCUUAACCCUUUUGACCUAACCGCAGAGACAACUCUCUGGAAGAACUCAAGAUUCAAAACAGCUACCGACUUCCCCCACCAGUCUAGUGGAGUCUCUGGCUCCAUAUUCGCACCCGAAAACGUAUAAUCGAGCUUUAAUAGACCCGAGGUGAGCUGCUCUUUGCAGGCGUUGUUGGCGAUUGCUAUGACCAAACGGUUCACCAAGUUGAGAUCUUCAGAGACUGGUGUAAGGGCUUCACAGUGAUGUAGAACGAGUAUGGAGUUAGAGAUACU